rnacentral:rRNA from 1 species
AACGAACGCUGGCGGCAUGCUUAACACAUGCAAGUCGAACGAGACCUUCGGGUCUAGUGGCGCACGGGUGCGUAACGCGUGGGAAUCUGCCCUUUGCUACGGAAUAACUCAGAGAAAUUUGUGCUAAUACCGUAUAAUGUCGCAAGACCAAAGAUUUAUCGGCAAAGGAUGAGCCCGCGUAAGAUUAGCUUGUUGGUGGGGUAAAGGCCUACCAAGGCGACGAUCUUUAGCUGGUCUGAGAGGAUGAUCAGCCACACUGGGACUGAGACACGGCCCAGACUCCUACGGAGGCAGCAGUGGGGAAUAUUGGACAAUGGGCGAAAGCCUGAUCCAGCAAUGCCGCGUGAGUGAUGAAGGCCUAGGUUGUAAAGCCUUUACCAGGGAUGAUAAUGACAGUACCUGGAGAAUAAGCUCCGGCUAACUCCGUGCCAGCAGCCGCGGUAAU